UGGGGAAUAUUGCACAAUGGGCGCAAGCCUGAUGCAGCCAUGCCGCGUGUAUGAAGAAGGCCUUCGGGUUGUAAAGUACUUUCAGCGGGGAGGAAGGGAGUAAAGUUAAUACCUUUGCUCAUUGACGUUACCCGCAGAAGAAGCACCGGCUAACUCCGUGCCAGCAGCCGCGGUAAUACGGAGGGUGCAAGCGUUAAUCGGAAUUACUGGGCGUAAAGCGCACGCAGGCGGUUUGUUAAGUCAGAUGUGAAAUCCUCGGGCUCAACCUGGGAACUGCAUCUAAUACUGGCAAGCUUGAGUCUCGUAGAGGGGGGUAGGAUUCCAGGUGUAGCGGUGAAAUGCGUAGAGAUCUGGAGGAAUACCGGUGGCGAAGGCGGCCCCCUGGACGAAGACUGACGCUCAGGUGCGAAAGCGUGGGGAGCAAACAGG
rnacentral:rRNA from 1 species